GACGAACGCUGGCGGCGUGCUUAACACAUGCAAGUCGAACGGACAGGCCCUGAUUUUGUGGGGUGCACGAGUGGCGAACGGGUGAGUAACACGUGAGUAAACUGCACUUGUCUUUGGGAUAACUUCAGGAAACUCGGGAUCAUACACGAUAGGAGCUACUGCUGCACGGUGGGGGAUGGAAAGUUUCGGCGGUUGGGGAUGGUGUCGCGGGUUCUCAGCUUGAUGGGGGAGUAGUGGCAUACGAAGGCUAUGACGGGUAGGCCGCCUGAGAGGGUGACCGGCGACAUUGGGACUGAGGUACGGACCAGUCGGCUACGGGAGGCAGCAGUGGGGAGUAUUGCAGAACGGGCGGAAGCGUGAUGCAGCAGCGCCGCGUGCGUGAUGACGGCUUUCUGGUUAUAAACCGCUGUCGCAUUAGACAAAGCGGGAGUGACGGUAACUGGUAAGGAAGCACCGGCUAACUACGUG
rnacentral:rRNA from 1 species